GGGUGCGACAGGGCUACCUGUCGUAGGUUUCCGGAUGGUCGGGCCGCCAUCC
rnacentral:ncRNA from 12 species